rnacentral:rRNA from 1 species
UACGUAGGGUGCAGGCGUUAAUCGGAAUUACUGGGCGUAAAGCGUGCGCAGGCGGUCUAUUAAGACAGGUGUGAAAUCCCCGGGCUCAACCUGGGAAUUGCGUUGGAGACUGCAAGGCUGGAGUCUGGCAGAGGGGGGGUAGAAUUCCACGUGUAGCAGUGAAAUGCGUAGAGAUGUGGAGGAACACCGAUGGCGAAGGCAGCCCCCCUGGGUCAAGACUGACGCUCAUGCACGAAAGCGUGGGGAGCAAACAGG